rnacentral:lncRNA from 1 species
AUGCUCUGUGUUCUGACUGCUCAAUCGCCUCUUCCAGGAGGAUUUAAGGAAUUCUUCUCUGAGGAAGGACUGGAUCAGAUCUUAAACAAUCAUUGCUUGCCAGUAAGAAGGAAAAGAGGAUGGCCAGAAAAGACAAGACAGGUUUCUGAAGGCCUGUACUCAGCACUACCUGUGGCCACAUUGUGGAAGGAAAAGCUGAGACCCAGCUGGACUAGGUGAGCCUGAUGAAUGGUGGCCUGCCAAGGAACCAGACAGAUUUCACCAGCUAUUUAUCUCCCCAAGCUCAAACAAUCACCCUGGGCCCUCCAAAAGAGGAAAAAUGAGCCAGAGAUGAGGUAGAGGGAAGUUCAAAGUGAAGCACAGGGAAGGGGAAGAGCUAUUUAUCCAUCUUUUUUGCCUUUCAAAAAACAUUCUUUGUUUCAGCUUUUCUGCAGAAAAUAGAACAGCAAAUUAUAUUUUGCUAUGAUAAAGAGAAAGGCAAGGCUGCAAAGCCAUUGAAACAUUAUGUGAAUUUAAUUACUAAGUUUUGUACUUUUAAAACUCUAAAUUUUUAGUGGCUGGAUUACUCACAUUCAGGAAUUUCAAUUCAUGUAUAGAUAAUAUGUGUAUUUUUUAAUCAUAGUGUACCAACCUUAAAAUCACUCGUUUCUCAUCCCUAUCUCAGUGUAAAGCUCAAGUCCCGAGCACAAGAGGUGACAAUUCUGCAGGAGAAGAGUGCCAUCUGCAGGAAGACUGUAUAAGAGCUGGCAAAGCCUCAGAGUUAACAAAAAUGAGACAAUUCAUUAGUGGAGAUUCCAUACUCAGCAAAUUGUCUGGCAUACAGUAAACUCAAUAAAUUAUUUUUGUUAUUUGAAUGGUAGUAAUGAUGGCAAUAUAUAAUUUUGCAUUGCAUCUCCUGACAUUUAAAAAUCAAAACAAAUCAAACGUCCAAGGAAGGAAGAACCAGAGACUACUCAGAUUAUUCAGAUCAUUGUUCUGUUUUUCAUAGGAACCCUUCCAGAUAUGUAAGAAUCUACAUAAUUUUUAAGAUCUUAUAGAAGGAAAUUCCACAACCUCUUAUAUUCAUACUAUAGCUCUACAAUCUUCAGCAGGGCCAGGGCCAGGGCCAGGAAACUUAGUUAUAUAAAUUUAGUUUGUAACACUCUCCUUCCUCCCCUUCCAGAAUCGUUAAUAGCCCUCAUUUUAGAACACACUUUCUUUCAUCUGUUCAAUAAAUAUUUUUGUGCACCUGCUAUGUUCCAGGUUCUGUGAUAUUUAACCUGCAUACAAUGGUGAACCCACCAUAUUUCCUGUCUUUCAAGAGUUUACAGUCAGUUGAUCCUAUGAUGCUCCUGCUUCCUUUUUCCUGUCUCCCACCCUCUUUUUCAGCUCCUCUUUCCUUCUUUCUUAUAAAUGCUUCAUGCUAGAAAAUUCCCACAAUCCCCCUCACUACCAACAAAACCAAACUUUAUUUUCUCAGGGUUCUACUCUAGGUAGUGACUAGCUAAUCUGACAAAUGAUUUCAUGACACUUGCUAAUUGAUCUCAUCAUCAAAGUAAUUUGAACACAUUUUAGUGAGGUAUUUCUGAAGACACAACAAUCAUUUAGGCUUCUGUGUUGGACUAAUGGAGAUGAUUUGUGAGUUAGGAAGGGCCUUGUGGUUCAUGUGGCACCUGGUCCUCCAAAGAGCAAAACCAACCUUGAUUUUUUUUGUUUUAUGUCAUUAUUUCAACCUAUUUCUCAAUUUGCCACAAUAGAGUAAAAUAAUUCUAUUAAAGAUGUGUCCAGUCACCUUUCAAUAUAGAGUAGCUCCUUUAAAUUCUUGAUAAAUGUCUCUUCUUAUUCUUUUCUCUGAUAGUCUCCUAAUAAUUCAAAAUGCCAUUGAAAACAGAAACAUUACAUUAACUUGCAUUUUCAUCUUUUAUGCAUAUUUUCCUAAAUUUUAUAUAGCAAAUAGAAGAUAAAGCCACCACUGAACUUCCUCAGUUUUAUAAGUUCAAAUCAAAUAUGAGAUGACUGUAAUCUACUAUUCCUGUCUAUUGUAAGAGGUGAUUUCUACUAUAAGUAGUUCCUGAGGCAUGUUCUUAUCCAUUCUUCAAGGUGACAUUUCUUUAAUGCUACAAAUGGUGGUCCUGUUUCUGACAAAUGGUGGCUCUGCAAAUGAGGGUCCUGUUUCUGAAAGCAUUUAAUAUUAAAAAUAAAAAUACAUCAGCCCAAAAUAAAAAACAAUCCCUUCAUUUCCUUGAAGUGAAUUGUGGUAUAUAUAUAUUCAUACCAAAAAAUAAGAAAACAAGUAAUAAGAAGAUAGGGUUUGUACCCCAAAAUGCAAAUAUUUUUAAUGAGGUAUAGAUUAUUUUUCUUUAUUUUAAUAUCUAUCUCUAAUUUUAAGAAGGCCCAGUGGAAACUGUAUCAACUGCCUUUGAAUAUUUCCUUGGAUCUGACUGAGUUGUUAAACUUAACAUGUUUAAAUCUCCUGGAUAAGAAUGAUCUGUAACAACCCAUUACAAACAUGAGCAACAUUUAUAAAUAAACCUUGGGAAUUUAUUCCUCAGAAAAUUUAAAAUGCCAUAGAAGAAGGGAACUGAAUAUCAUUGAUGCUUUCUCUAUGCCAGGUACUUUGUAUAUGUUAUUUCAUGUGACUUAAGCCCUGUCAAGUUACUUAGGUUGUUUACAAUUAUCCUAUGUAAUAUAUGAGAAAAUCAAGGCCAAGAGAAAUUCUAUAACUUGCCAGUAAGUUAUAUUGUUCAGAUUCAGCCUCACGUCUAUCUGGGUCUAGCACAUGUUCCUUCUAUGAUACACGAAGACCCUUAUUGUAAAUGCUGGCUGUGACUUUCAAAUGAAAAGAUGGGCUUGGCAUUGGGAUGAUAUGAUGUAACCAAGGCAAGGACUCUGAUGGAGCACCCUAAAAUGGAACACUGUAAUGGACCACCAUAAAAAUAGAAAAACAUCUUUAAAGGUCAUGUGGUUACUUAUUUAAUAUACAUUACUGAGUAUCAAGCUAUGUUUAUCACUUGUGGAGGUUUUGGAUCUAAUUUCUCAAAGUGUGGCCAUUUGGAAAUUAAAUAUUAUAGUAUAAUGUCUGUACAUCAUUUCUGGUCAACCAGUCUUCACUAUUGCUAUAAACACAUUUUAGGCUAAAAAAUCCUGACUCAGAGAGUAAUGAAUACAGCUCAUCCCCGCAUUUAAGCUUUACUGAUUUCUGCUUUGCAGUAUGUUUCAAAGUAUUUAGAAUGUAAUUUUUGUAAUUAAUAGCAUUGCCUGUGCAGACUGUAAAAAUAAGUUUAUUCAAGCCCAAUCUUCACUCCAAAGAUUUUAAUGUAACAGUAUUUGUUCACUUCUUUAUUUACUGAAAAUUUAUUUUAAAACUGUUUGGUAUUUAUCAUAAACCCAAGCAAGAAACUACCAACUGACCAUGGCCCAGCAAUUGUACUUUGGGGAAUAUAUUCCAAAGAUUAAAAAAAUUAGAUUGUCACAAAAACCUGUACAAUAGUGUUCACAGUAGCUACAUUAAUAACUGAAAACUGGAAACAACCUGGAUAUCCUUCAACAGGUAAGCCAUUGAACAAACUGUGAUAUACCCAAUCCCAAAAAGGUAUAUACUGUAUGACAUUAUCAAAACAACAAAAUUAUAGAAAUGAACAAAUUAGUGGUAUCAGGGGUUAAGGAGUGGGUGGGGCAGAAGAAAGUAGGUGUGGCUGAAUCCCACAACAUAUGAGAUCUCUGUGGUGGAUGAUACUGUACCUUGACUCAUCAGUGUCAAUAUCAUGGUUGUAAUAUUAUCGUACAAUCGUUUUUCAAGAUGUUAUCACUGGGGAAAACUGAGUAAAGGGUUCAAGGGAUUUCUGUCAUUUCUUAAAACUGCAUGUGAGUCUAGAAUGACCUCAAAAUAAAGAAGUUAAACUUUAAAAAAAGAGGUCAGGGAUGGUGGCUUAUACCUGUAAUCCCAGCAUUUUGGGAGGCCAAGGCAGGAGAAUCACUUGAGACCAGAAGUUCAAGACUAGCCUGGGCAACACAGAGAAACCAUAUCUCUACCAAUAAAUAAAUAAAUAAAUAGUAGACUAUUUCUUGAGGGGAAAUCUGAAAUAAAAAUAAGACAAAAAUACAAAAAAAAAAAAAGUUAGCCAGACAUGGUGGCAUAUACCUGUGACCCCAGUUACUCAGGAAGCUGAGGCAGGGGAAUUGCUUGAGGCCAGGAGGUUGAGGCUGCAGUGAGCUGUGUUCACAUCACUGCAUUCCAGCCUGAGCAAUAAAGACACUAUCUCGAAAACAGCAACAACAAAUAUAUAUGUUUAUAUAUAAAGCACUGGUACUACAAAUAGAAUAAAUACCCCUUACAGGUCAUUAAAUCUUGUAAUAAACACUAUAAGAAAGCAGGCAGGUCCCAUGCAGUGUGACGAAUUCAAUGCUACAGUUUCCACAGAGGCCAGGGGACAGAGAUGGGUAGGAAGUCAGAUUGCCAUGAGAUAAGAAACAAAAGGAAAGUUAGAAAUGGAGACAAUAAAUGUAGACUGUUUCUAGACAUAUGGCUGAGAAUGGAAGGAGAGAAAUCUGUGGUUUUAGAAUAGCAUACACCAAAAAAGAGAGAGAGGUUUUCUCACAACUAAAAUCAGAGAAUUAAAUAAAACUGAGGCCCAAAAGAUCAAUGAAACUAAGAGUUGGUUCUUAGAAAUUAUAAACAAGACUAAUAGACUAUUAGCUAGAUUAACAAAGGAAAAAAAAGAGAAAAUCCAAAUCAGAACAAUAAGAAAUGACUAAGAUGAUAUUACAACUGAUCCCACAGAAAUACAAAAGAUUCUCAGAGACUAUUAUGAACACAUCCAUGCACACAAAUUAUAAAAUCAAGCAGAAAUUGAUAAAUUCCUAGAAACACACAAUGCCCAAGACUGAAUUGGAAGAAAGUGAAAACCUGAACAGACCAAUAACAGGUUUGGAAAUUGAAUCUGUAAUAAAAAAAACCUACAAACUAAAAAGAGCCCUGGACUAGAUGGAUUCAUAGCUGAAUUCUACCAGACAUACAAGGAAGAACUAAUACCAAUCCUACUAAAAUGUUUCAAAAAAAAAAUUGAAAAGGAGGAACUUCUCCCUAACUCAUUCU